CCUACGGUAGGCAGCAGUGAGGAAUAUUGGUCAAUGGACGCAAGUCUGAACCAGCCAUGCCGCGUGCAGGAAGACGGCUCUAUGAGUUGUAAACUGCUUUUGUACGAGGGUAAACGCAGAUACGCGUAUCUGUCUGAAAGUAUCGUACGAAUAAGGAUAGGCUAACUCCGUGCCAGCAGCCGCGGUAAUACGGAGGAUUCAAGCGUUAUCCGGAUUUAUUGGGUUUAAAGGGUGCGUAGGCGGUCGGAUAAGUUAGAGGUGAAAUCCAGGGGCUCAACUUCUGAAUUGCCUCUGAUACUGUUCGGCUAGAGAGUAGUUGCGGUAGGCGGGAUGUAUGGUGUAGCGGUGAAAUGCUUAGAGAUCAUACAGAACACCGAUUGCGAAGGCAGCUUACCAAGCUACUUCUGACGUUGAGGCACGAAAGCGUGGGGAGCAAACAGGAUUAGAUACCCUGGUAGUC
rnacentral:rRNA from 1 species